CGACGACGAUGGCGACGUUCGAACAAGGCGAUCGUGUGCCCACGACGACGAGAGAAAGAGCGAAUAAGAAGAGAGCAUCGAAAGAAGAACGGUGAGGAGAGGAGAGGAGAGGAGAGAAGAGGACAGGAAGAAGGCCUCGCGCGAGAUAGUCGGCACAUACGGUAGUCGCAGAUCGGCGAAGCAGACAAGGGGCCCGAGCAAGCAAAAUGGAGGGCAGGCGAGCGUAGAAUAUAAAAGGAGGAACGUGAAUUCAUAUCUUGUCUGGGGGAUCUUGCUGCUUUGCUGCUGAGAGACUGUUUUCGAGAAGGUAAAGGAGGAGAUAGAGAGAGAGAGAGAGAGAGAGAGAGAGAGAGACGAGAGAGCCAAAGAAAAGGAGAAACGACCGAGUGCGAAGAAAGACUGCGAGAAAGGGAAUGGGAGAUGAACGAAGAAGGAAAGAAAGAAAGAAGAAGAAAGGAAGGGAGAGAGAGAGAGAGAGAGAGAGAGAGAGGAUGAGAUAGGAGAACUCAAGCAACCGUCCGUGGUUGGUAUCAUGUCUGUCGCGAGCGCGACGAGGACGUUAAAGCGUUGUACCAUGCAUAAGAGAGAAAGAGAUAAACGUAUAGAUAGACGGAGAGAGAGAGAGAGAGAGAGAGAGAGAGAGAGAGAGAAAGUGCGAGCAAGGUGGAAAAGAAGGACGGAGAUAGGAGUCCGCGCGGACUGCGGUCGAACCGUUAGGGAGAUCGGCCAAUGAGCGCGCUCCAGCGACCAAUCACGAUCGAGCUCUCUCGUCUCCGUGCAACUAAUAUACCGUCUUCUCUCUCUUAACCGGGCCAGUCGGAGCUGAACCACGUAAGGAGGUAGGGCCUUUUGUCUCCUCGCGGAGCCGUGAAUACACGCUACGUACAUACACACAAUGGCUCGAGCCGCGUUGCCACCAGAAGCGACCGGUAAAAGGCUAUAUGCGAACCUUCUCUCUCUCUCUGUCUCUCAUUCGUUUGAGCGCGCAUGCGCACACGCCGUGAGAGACAGGUGAGAAAGUACCGGCAAUAGAGCGUGUGUACCAUCGCGCCGGUACAAAAUUCGGUAUUAGCACGGCCAUAACGCGCGGUUUCCAAAUGAGGUUCGAGAGGGCAUCCAUCUCGCCGCAAAAUCCACCACCGACGAGACGGUUCGCGUACCGUCCGCGUUUUGUUGCUCGUUGCCACCGCGAGCUUUUCGAUAUUUCCUUUCUUCGACGUUGUUAUUUACGCGCGAAUUCCGCGUCGUGUUUUCACGCAAUCGGCUUCCCGCAUAUUUUUCUCGUUUCUCCUGUCCAACAAGAGCGGCUCGAUAACAAGUUACAUAGAUACAUCGUCGUUUAUAAAAAGGAACAUAAACCCUUGUCUCUGAGUCGUCUACUACCUUUCUCCUGCAAAGUUAGAUAGCCAAGAAAAUCAGGUCAGGAUACAUCGGGAAACGUGUACGGAACAAGCACGUAUCGGCUCGGCCCGUUAUCCGGCUACCAUCGUCGAGCAGCGCAAACAGGUUACGAAGCUCGAUGGAAAUAGAGACGAUAGACAUGAAGAUGGAGGGAACGAAAGGGGAGCUUUUCUAUCUCCGUCCUUGCGUUCGGAGAACUAUAAAGAGCAGAGCGAGAAACGGUUGGGGUCAGCGUGAUGUAUGUGUAUAUAAGCGAGGUGCAACGCUAACUCAUCGUUAUCACGAAACUGCUUGCCCAUUAUUUUCCCCGAUGACGUCGAGCCGAGGAGUCUCGUAAUGUCUCGUACGUGCGUGUUCUCGUGCGUGGGCGUGCUACGAGUUGCAUCGGCCGCUAGGCGAACCAACAGGGCCGUCGACAGGCUCUCGACGUUGUGCCUUCGUUGUAACCUUCUGAUAAAAGAGAUAAAAAAAAGAAAAAUAAAAAGAGGAAGAAGAAGAAGAAGAGUUGAAA